AUUUUAUAUUCAACUAUGUGGUGUACAAUUUUGCCGCUAUAUAUUGACCGCAGGGAGCUGAUACCGAAGAGAUCGUUAAGAAGGAAGGUGUAUCCAAAAUUGCACAUGGGAUUUGUGUGUUAUGCGAAGCAAUUGAUACUAUUAAGGUUCAUUGGUCAUAUGAAGUUUGCACACGUCAAGCUUGACUUCCUAAAGAUCAUAAUGCAUUCUGAAAAUGAUACCGUUCAGGUUCAUUGGCGUAUACGUGGUAUCGUCACAGGCUGGAAGGUAUUUUCUAUGUUUUGGAAGUAAAAUUUGGAAAAUACAACAUGCCAUAAAAUAAGCGCUAACCAGGAAACUUAAUGCUGAAUAGAAAAGUCUAUAAGCAUAUUGCGGACAAGAUGAUGCCUAAUCAGGAUACAGCCACGAAAAAGAAAGAUAUGCGCAUGGCAGGGAAAUUAACGCUAUUCACAGGCUUUGUAUGCACAUUUAGUAACAACAAGGAUUCUUUGCAAUGGGCUCUGUCUUAAAAUGGCAUCAAUUGAAGUGAAUCCACUGCUGAGUGCUGAACUUAUACGAUUUUAUCCGUCACAAC